UCCGUUAUUCAGUGGUUACACCGACCGUGUGCCGAUCGCUCGCGUCCGCGUGAACACGCUCCGGCCACCACUCGAAAUAUGUAUUUUCCGUUUGUAUGGGGAAAAUAAAUAAUAUUUGUCGCCGACGCAAUUCUCUCCCGCGCGAUUGCGCGUCGCGACGGCCGCGAAAUAUUUAUCGGGAAAUAUUGGCCGGAAAAUAUCUAUAGAAUCCAUAUACGCUUGUUGCGUAUAUGUAUGUGCAUAUAUGGCAAGUGUAAUUAUAUUGGAUAAAUGCGUGAUUUAGUCACGUGCGACAUGCUUCGAAAAUCGAAAAUCAACGUGAGCGCAAAUUGUAUUUUUGUCGAGUGAUCGGCGUCACUUAUCGAAUAUAUUAUAUUUUCAAACAUCUGCUCGUUGAGAAGCAUCUGCUUUUCGAAUACAUGAAGAGCGAUGCAUGCAUGCUGUCCUACUGAACCGUAUCGGACGUCCAAAAUGUUCUACAUAUUAUAACGAGAGCUCGUCCUGGGCCGCCUAGAAGACAAUUACCAGGAAACAGCUCGAGAUAACAACAACAACAACAACGACCGACAUCCCCGACAGUCAAGUCUGUGUCGCGGGACUUUGUCGGAUACGGCUCCGCGACACUCGCUCCACGACAACGACGACGACGAUGAUGACAUCGAGGGAAAGGGGUUGUGGCGCCCACCCGGCAGCCAUUUACCGGGGAACAUCCGACGCGCGCCGUUAUCUUUAUAGUUCGAGGGCGGUAUCGCGAUCGGCCGCGACUGUUAAUUAACGCGGGCUUCUUUCGCGAGAGAUUGAGACUGGAGAAUAUCACGCAUCGGUCGGUUCUCCCGCGUAUACGCGGAUGUUUACACGAGUUUGCGUAGAUAUAUAUAAGAGCGCGCGUGUUUGUAUAUAUAUAUAUAUAUAUGUGUGUGUGUGUGCAUUAUAGACCGCAGCUGUGUUACGAGACCGAAAUCGGAGAACUCGGGAUUGGUAUCGACGGCGUCGUCUUCCGGAGUCUCGCGAACCGCGUUCUUCGCUGGCUGAAUCGCGUCCGACAUCCUCCCAUUUCCUUCUUGUAUAUUUCCCGUACAUUUCAUUUAUUUCUCUUCGAGAAAUAAAAUUUAUUAUAUAUAUUUUAUUGCGUGAGAAAUAAUAUUACUGUAGAUUUAACAUCGACGAGCACAUCAUCAGGUUCCUUUCUGGUAAUUUUCAGUACCCGAUUUUCAACCGAGAUAGAAGCAAUAUUACGCUUCCCAAAAACUGGUCUCGCGUCAAAGUCCAAGCGCAACUUCGAGCCUCUUCGAGAAAUAAAAUUUAUUAUAUAUAUUUUAUUGCGUGAGAAAUAAUAUUACUGUAGAUUAAACAUCGACGAGCACAUCAUCAGGUUCCUUUCUGGUAAUUUUCAGUACCCGAUUUUUAACCGAGAUAGAAGCAAUAUUACGCUUCCCAAAAACUGGUCUCGCGUCAAAGUCCAAGCGCAACUUCGGGUCUCUUCGAGAAAUAAAAUUUAUUAUAUAUAUUUUAUUGCGUGAGAAAUAAUAUUACUGUAGAUU